rnacentral:rRNA from 3 species
UCAAUAAGCGGAGGAAAAGAAACUAACAAGGAUUCCCCUAGUAACGGCGAGUGAAGCGGGAUGAGCUCAAAUUUGUAAUCUGGCGGUCUCCGGCCGUCCGAGUUGUAGUCUGGAGAAGCGUCUUCCGUGCCGGACCGUGUACAAGUCCCUUGGAACAGGGCGUCGUAGAGGGUGAGAAUCCCGUCUCUGACACGGACUACCGGUGCUCUGUGAUGCGCUCUCGAAGAGUCGAGUUGUUUGGGAAUGCAGCUCAAAAUGGGUGGUAAAUUCCAUCUAAAGCUAAAUAUUGGCGAAAGACCGAUAGCGAACAAGUACCGUGAGGGAAAGAUGAAAAGCACUUUGGAAAGAGAGUUAAACAGUACGUGAAAUUGUUGAAAGGGAAACGCUUGAAGUCAGUCGCGUCUUCCGAGACUCAGCCGGGUUCUUACCCGGUGCACUUCUCGGUGUCGACGGGCCAGCAUCGAUUUCGACCGUCGGAGAAAGGCUCUGGGAAUGUGGCACCUUCGGGUGUGUUAUAGCCCUCUGUCGUAUGCGACGGUCGGGAUCGAGGACCGCAGCGUGCCCUUCAUCGGGCCGGGGUUCGCCCACGUAACGCGCUUAGGAUGCUGGCGUAAUGGCUUUAA